UACAAUGGAGAGUUUGAUCCUGGCUCAGGAUGAACGCUAGCGGCAGGCCUAACACAUGCAAGUCGAGGGGCAUCGGGAUUGAAGCUUGCUUCAAUUGCCGGCGACCGGCGCACGGGUGCGUAACGCGUAUGUAACCUACCUAUAACAGGGGCAUAACACUGAGAAAUUGGUACUAA
rnacentral:rRNA from 1 species